UGAGGAAUAUUGGUCAAUGGGCGCAAGCCUGAACCAGCCAUGCCGCGUGCAGGAUGACGGUCCUAUGGAUUGUAAACUGCUUUUGUACAGGAAGAAACACUCCCUCGUGAGGGAGCUUGACGGUACUGUAAGAAUAAGGAUCGGCUAACUCCGUGCCAGCAGCCGCGGUAAUACGGAGGAUCCAAGCGUUAUCCGGAAUCAUUGGGUUUAAAGGGUCCGUAGGCGGUUUUAUAAGUCAGUGGUGAAAUCUGGUCGCUCAACGAUCAAACGGCCAUUGAUACUGUAAGACUUGAAUUACUUGGAAGUAACUAGAAUAUGUAGUGUAGCGGUGAAAUGCUUAGAGAUUACAUGGAAUACCAAUUGCGAAGGCAGGUUACUACAAGUGGAUUGACGCUGAUGGACGAAAGCGUGGGGAGCGAACAGG
rnacentral:rRNA from 1 species